rnacentral:lncRNA from 1 species
ACCAGACUGAGGACACAGCUGGCCUAAAUGACAAGUGACACUCCUUUGGGACCUUCACCAGACCCUUCAUAUCAUUACCAGUAAGGUGCGUCUACAGGAACCCAGGACACUUGUACAUUCCUACAACAUCAGUAUCUUCAAGAAAUCUCUAUUCUGACAAAAUUCUGCACGUGGCCUUAACAAUUUGAUAAAAGUUAUUGCUGAGUCCUUGCCAGUGUCUGACAGCAUUGUCCCAGAUGAGAUUACAAAGCUCCAGUAAAGAGAAGUUGCCUAAAGCCACCUAAGUAAUUAAAAGGAAGCAAAACCUUGAAAAUGGAGGAGUAUAGCAGCUAUUAUUUGGACCUUUUGUUUGUUUCUUUCCUCUGACUGCUCCAUAGGAUGUAGAUAUUGUAGGCAUGAACAUCUGAUAUUGAGGAGGGCCAAGCAUUCAAGUGUCCGAAAUUAGUAGGACUUUACAAGGUAGAAGCUGAAGAGAAAGAAUUCCAAGGACAAAGGAGGGAAUGGAGAGAUACACAGAGAAGAUAACAGAUUCCAUGACAGUGGGUCCUCUGACUACUACAAGACUUACUGACUUCUCUUCAGCCAGACUUUGUUUACAUCACGAUUGAGUCUGCUUUUAAUCAAGCCAGCAAUAUGUCAAUGCCCAAUCCAAUGGAAAUUGGUGGUUUUCAUCUUGACCCAUAGGAUUGGGAAUGUUGUUUAAACAAAGGAAAUGGAUAAAAUGACAGAGCAGUGGUGGCCUCCUCAGCGUAACACACUUUGUAUUGUUUGACUUCUUUUGAUCCAUCUAACGCUCAUACAUCUCAACUGUACUGUUGUGUGGGUAUUUCACUCAUUUUCACUCACAGGGUGAAAAACAAAAAUGCUGAUUAGAAGAAAAGUAUGUUCAUGACCUUGAAGUGGGCAGAUAGUUGUUAAACACGGAUGAAAUGCAAUGCCAUGCUAAGAAGUAUAUGUGGGCUUCUGCAGAUGAAUUUGAAGAAUACAAUUUCAUAAGGAUGAAGUCUCGAGGAUCAUUAAAGGGAUGCUACUUCUAUGCCUCUCUCCAUGAGCCUGCAGCUGGAUGUUUCAGCUAAGCUCUCUGCCUGUCAAUCCCCUGAGAUCUACUCCCUGCCUCACCCCCAUGCUCAUGUUACAGGAACGGGUGGAAGGAUAUCUAGCUGAAUUGAAAUUGACAAAACUGGGUAACUCAGACAGGGCAGCCUCCGGAGAGGCCUUUAACCACAAAAGAGACACCAGCCUCUGGGGUGAUAAUCAAAGAUGAGUGAAAGACCGUGUUACCCAAGUGUCAGAAGAAACACAAAUCUGUAAAAUAUAACUAGCAAGACCAUGCAGAGAGGAAAUGAUACUGUGAAUAUUUACAGCAGACGACUUCACUUCUGAAUUGGAGACAGAGAGAAUAUUAUGUAGACAGAGCUCAGACCUAGCAGUUGGAAAACUGACCUCCAUCCCUUGGAGCUGACUAAGAAGAUGAACCCAGGUUUGUUCAAAUCAAUGAUUCCUGAAGACUUUAACUUUUCCAAAAGGAAAUACGUAGUCCACUGGUUCAUUACUUACAUUUGAAUGCUGGAACACUUGUCUCCACACAGUGCAUGUCCCACAAAAGACUUUGUAUGCACCUUCUCAAAAA